rnacentral:rRNA from 1 species
AUUGAACGCUGGCGGCAGGCCUAACACAUGCCAGUCGAACGAGUGGCGGACGGGUGAGUAAUGUCUGGGAAACUGCCUGAUGGAGGGGGAUAACUACUGGAACCGGUAGCUAAUACCGCAUACCAUCAGAUGUGCCCAGAUGGGAGUAGCUAGUUGUUGGGGUAACGGCUCACCAAGGCGACGAUGCCUAGCUGGUCGGAGAGGAUGAACAGGCACAGUGGAACUGAGAAACGGAGCAGAAUGCUACGGGAGGCAGCAGUGGGGAAUAUGGGACAAUGGGGGAAAGCCUGAGGCAGCCAUGCCGCGUGUAUGAAGAAGGGCUUGGGGUGGUAAAGGACUUUCAGCGGGGAGGAGUUACCCGAAGAAGAAGCACCGGCUAACUCCGUGCCAGCAGCCGCGGUAAUUC